rnacentral:misc_RNA from 1 species
GAGUACCGGGUCUUCGGGGUAGACCUCCCACCCUGUGUUAUUUACUCUUGUUGCUUUGGCAGGCCGCCUUCGGGCUCCCGGCUUCGGCUGGGGCGCGCCUGCCAGAGGACCCCAACUCUGAAUCAUAAACAUGUCGUCUGAGUACUAUAUAAUAAGUUAAAACUUUCAACAACGGAUCUCUUGGUUCU